GAGGAUAUAGCUCAGCGGUAGAGUGAAUGCUUAGCAUGCAUGAAGUCCUGGGUUCAGUCCCCAGUACCUCCA
rfam:Camelus ferus unplaced genomic scaffold scaffold1541, whole genome shotgun sequence.